rnacentral:lncRNA from 1 species
GGCGCUGCAGAGCAUUAUCUCUCCUGGUAGCGUGGGAGGGUUAGGAAGAAUUCCCAGAGUGCAAGCCGCACGUGCUCCCCUCAGCCCCAGGGAGGAUGCAGACGGCCACCGGGGCAGCUCUGCAGCGCUUCACCUGGUCCUGGACCUGGGCUGCACUAAUCGGGUGUUUUCUUUUUGUUCCAACGCCCCACCUGCAUAGACUCAGAAAGCUUCCGUCAUCCAGCCGCACAGCAGACACACUCCCUCCCUGGCCAAUGGCCAGUGUCUCCGUCUUCCCCGUGGGACCCCGGGGUCAACCCAUGCCUGCGGGAGGGCACCGGCUCGUGGCCCGCAGAUCAGCAAAGCUGUAACUCAUCGAGCAUCUACCAGAUCACCUCUGUACCUCGGUACUUAGACACCAAACUCUCAGGAUGGGAAGGACCCUCAGUGUGAAUCAGGGUUUGUGGUGCACCUAUCAUGUAUCUGAUCUUCUGCUAGGCGACUGACGUUCAUCCAGCCA